GAUGAACGCUGGCGGCGUGCCUAAUACAUGCAAGUCGAGCGAACAGACGAGGAGCUUGCUCCUCUGACGUUAGCGGCGGACGGGUGAGUAACACGUGGAUAACCUACCUAUAAGACUGGGAUAACUUCGGGAAACCGGAGCUAAUACCGGAUAAUAUAUUGAACCGCAUGGUUCAAUAGUGAAAGACGGUUUUGCUGUCACUUAUAGAUGGAUCCGCGCCGCAUUAGCUAGUUGGUAAGGUAACGGCUUACCAAGGCGACGAUGCGUAGCCGACCUGAGAGGGGGAUCGCCCACCCGGGAACUAGCCCCCGGUCCAGCCCCCUCCGGGGGGCAGCAGUAGGGAAUCUUCCGCAAUGGGCGAAAGCCUGCCGGAGCAACGCCGCGGGAGUAAUGAAGGUUUUCGGAUCUAAAAACCUUUUUUUUAGGGAAAAAAAAAUGUGUAAGUAACUAUGCCCGUUUUGACGGUCCCUAACAAAAAAGCCCCGGCUAACUACGU
rnacentral:rRNA from 1 species